rnacentral:rRNA from 1 species
UAAGAAUUUAAAAGUCGAACAGACUUUGUCCUAAGAAUACUGCUUCCUAGACUUUUCUUAAUUCAACAUCGAGGUCGCAAAAAUUAAUAUAGAUAUGAACUCCCCAUUAAAAUUACGCUGUUAUCCCUAAGGUAACUUAAUCUAAAAUCUUUAAUAAGGAUCAUAAUAAUCAUUUAUUAAUGAUUUUUAAUAUUAAAGUUUAAAUUUAUCCACCACCCCAGUAAAAUAAUAAUUUUAAUUAAUUCAAUAUAUAAAAAGAAUUAAAAAAUUAAUAUAAAGUUCUAUAGGGUCUUAUCGUCCCAAUAAAUAUAUUAAGCAUUUUCACUUAAAAUUUAAAUUUUAAUAAAUAUUUGAUUUAAAAGUAAUUUCUCAUUCAUCCUUUCAUUCCAGCUCCCAAUUAAGAAACUAAUUACUAUGCUACCUUUGCACAGUCAAAAUACUGCAGCCAUUUAGAAUUAACCAUAGGGCAGAAGGUACCUUUUAAAAAAACA